GUCUGCCAGAUGUUGUGAUAACUCAAUGGAUAAAUAAGAAGCAGAAGAGCAUUUGAUGCCACUGACAUACACCACUGGUGUAAGAAUAGAGAUGUAUUUCCAAAGCUUUGGCAGUACAAUGGGACCCAUUAACUAGCUUCAGAAACUGUGCAUAAUUCACAUAAUUGUUCUC